AUUUUAUGUUCACCAUGAUUCUGUGGUCACACUCAUCAUUUGAGAUAUGACAGUUAUAAGAUAAUUCUAUUUCUUAUUUUGAAAUAAAAAUGUAUAUUUCACAAAUAUUGAUAAAUAUAGUUUUCUUAACCAUUUGUUAUACAUGUAUUGGGUUUUUAUCAGAAGAUAUGGUAACCAAGAUCAUGCAUUUAACCUCAUGAUAAGCAUGACUAUACAUGCAAUUAGUUUUUGACAGGUACUUAUUUUUGUUACCUACAAUAUACUUUUUGGUAUGUUUAGUCUUAAAGUUUGUAUGUUUAAAUAGGUGGUGUUUGUCUUAAUGAAUAAAUGUAGAUUUUCAACAUGAAUUAUAUGCAAUUUACGAAGAAUAUAUGUUACAGGUUUUGAUUAUGUUUAUUUAAAACUUUUCCCUAAGAGUGUUAAAUGAAUUAAAGUUUUACAUAACAGUU
rnacentral:misc_RNA from 1 species